AACGAACGCUGGCGGCAUGCCUAACACAUGCAAGUCGAACGAGACCUUCGGGUCUAGUGGCGCACGGGUGCGUAACGCGUGGGAACCUGCCUUUAGGUUCGGAAUAACUCAGAGAAAUUUGAGCUAAUACCGGAUGAUGUCUUCGGACCAAAGAUUUAUCGCCUUUAGAUGGGCCCGCGUUGGAUUAGCUAGUUGGUGGGGUAAAGGCCUACCAAGGCGACGAUCCAUAGCUGGUCUGAGAGGAUGAUCAGCCACACUGGGACUGAGACACGGCCCAGACUCCUACGGGAGGCAGCAGUGGGGAAUAUUGGACAAUGGGCGAAAGCCUGAUCCAGCAAUGCCGCGUGAGUGAUGAAGGCCUUAGGGUUGUAAAGCUCUUUUACCCGAGAUGAUAAUGACAGUAUCGGGAGAAUAAGCUCCCGCUAACUCCGUG
rnacentral:rRNA from 1 species